UACGGAGGGUGCAAGCGUUAUCCGGAUUCACUGGGUUUAAAGGGUGCGUAGGUGGGUUUGUAAGUCAGCGGUGAAAUCUCCGAGCUUAACUCGGAAACUGCCAUUGAUACUAUAGAUCUUGAAUUUUCUGGAGGUAAGCGGAAUAUGUCAUGUAGCGGUGAAAUGCUUAGAUAUGACAUAGAACACCAAUUGCGAAGGCAGCUCACUACGGAUAUAUUGACACUGAGGCACGAAAGCGUGGGGAUCAAACAGG
rnacentral:rRNA from 1 species